rnacentral:rRNA from 1 species
UACAGAGGUCUCAAGCGUUGUUCGGAUUCAUUGGGCGUAAAGGGUGCGUAGGCGGCGCGGUAAGUCGGGUGUGAAAUCUCGGAGCUUAACUCCGAAACUGCAUUCGAUACUGCCGUGCUUGAGGACUGGAGAGGAGACUGGAAUUUACGGUGUAGCGGUGAAAUGCGUAGAUAUCGUAAGGGAAGACCAGUGGCGAAGGCGGGGUCUCUGGACAGUUCCUGACGCUGAGGCACGAAGGUCAGGGGGAGCAAAACGGG